UACGGAGGGUGCAAGCGUUAUCCGGAUUUACUGGGUUUAAAGGGUGCGUAGGUGGGUCUGUAAGUCAGUGGUGAAAUCUUCAAGCUUAACCUGGAAACUGCCAUUGAUACUAUAGGUCUUGAAUUAUCUGGAGGUGAGCGGAAUAUGUCAUGUAGCGGUGAAAUGCUUAGAUAUGACACAGAACACCGAUUGCGAAGGCAGCUGGCUAAGCUGUUACUGACGCUGAGGCACUAAAGCGUGGGGAUCAAACAGG
rnacentral:rRNA from 1 species